GAGUACGUUGUCGUCGAGUGGUGGUUCUUUAUUCUAUGGAGUGGUUCUGAAAGCGCUGCGUUAGGGGCGACUGCAACCAGGCGUUGCGGCAAGUUACGGUGGGAACUUCUGUCCGUGCUGUGUGAUUGCGACGAGGACGACUGCCGCCAGCAGCGGCGUGUCGCCGAUUUCGUCUUUGCCGACAUCGAGCAAGUGCAGCUCGCCGGAAGUGUUGCGUUUUGCACUGCAUUUUCCUUGUGAUAUGGGAGAUCGCAACGCAGAGACGACCAGAUGCAUACGAAAGACUACCAGCGGAGAGUGACCUGUGCCAUAUUUCUCUUAACCUCUCAGGUAUUCAAGAAAUGGCAACAUCCAGAAGAAGACGCCAUCUUAUCCAGCACGUUAUGGGUACACUCUGGUGGCUCCCGCCCCUGCAUCCUACGACCACCGUGUCCUCACUAUGUUCACUAGGGAGUUCGAAGCCUUUGGCGGCACCUGCCACUGCGUCCUGCCACCACCGUGUC